rnacentral:rRNA from 1 species
UGAACGCUGGCGGCGUGCCUAACACAUGCAAGUCGCACGAGAAAGUCUGCCUUCGGGCGGGCGAGUAAAGUGGCGCACGGGUGAGUAACGCGUAGGUAAUCUACCCCCGGAACCGGGAUAACAGUGCGAAAGUGCUGCUAAUACCGGAUACGAUCUUUUGGCGGGAGCUGAAAGGUGAAAGUCGGCCUCUCGAAGAAGCCGGUGCUCGGGGAUGAGCCUGCGUCCUAUCAGCUAGUUGGCAGGGUAACGGCCUACCAAGGCGACGACGGGUAGCUGGUCUGAGAGGAUGAUCAGCCACACUGGCACUGAAACACGGGCCAGACUCCUACGGGAGGCAGCAGUGAGGAAUUUUGCGCAAUGGGAGCAAUCCUGACGCAGCAACGCCGCGUGGGUGAUGAAGGCCUUCGGGUCGUAAAGCCCUGUCAGGUGGGAAGAAUGUCUCGGGACUGAACAGGUUUCGGGAGUGACGGUACCACCAGAGGAAGCACCGGCUAACUCCGUGCCAGCAGCCGCGGUAA